CAUUAAAGUGCAAAGCAAGGAUUCAAACCCAGGAGGAAGACUGGUCGUAGAGUGCCCUUGGAUUUGGACGGGAACUUUUGAGCUGCAGCCCCGGUUUUCCCUGAAAGCCUGCGUUGUUUGGCUCCAUCUCAUCCAGCUUUGACGGCCACAUGCGGCAGUUGCCUGUACACACGCGCCAAUGAAACACUGGCAAAGGCUGUACAUUGCAAAGAAACCCCACAUUAUAUAUCCACGUCACUGCUGGUAGUAUUCAUAUUUUUGCACCCGCUGUUUAUUGCUUAUAUGCAGAAGAAAUGAAACUAGUUUUCAGAGUUGUUAUUAAUAUGAAUAUAUAUCAUGUACUAAUGCCGAGACGGGAAAAAUACAUUUCCAGCAUUAGCAGUCCUUCAUUUCCUUUCUCCAGCAGAAAAUUCGCUCCUUCAGAGAGUAAUGUAAGUCUUGAUAAUAAAAUAAGAGUUUUGAUCAAGAGCAGCAUGCAGCUUCGAAGUGGAAUGUUAAAGGAUUAGUAAAAAUCCUAUCUCAUGUUAUUUUUCAGCCCUCACACCACAACUGAUGUCAGGCUGGGUUGUUGUUAUGGAAAACAGUUUGGGAGUUAAUGCAAAAACAUAAUACUCACUUUAUAUAUUACUGUCUUAGUAAAAGAAUUUAUUGAAGAUAAGAAUCUAAUCAUAUUUAUUUGACAUAUUAGAAGCUGUGGUUUCUAGGAAAAAAAGAAAGUAGGUACCUUGAAUAGCUUUUUUUCCAUGAUAGAAACAUAAAUUUAAUAGUAUCCCUAUAAUAAUUUAGUGUUGUACAUUUUCUCAGUCUUCAAAGUAUUGCAUUCUGUGGAUUUCAUGUCUUCAGUAUAUUGAGAUGUUUCUUUCAAAGAUGACCAACAAUAUCUUCAUUUUAAUUAAGUGCUACUGACAUAUUUAAGCAUAUGCUUAUAUGUAGUUAAGUGUGACAGAAUGAGAUAAUUUAUGUGAAACAGUAGAGUGCCUGGCACAAAGCAAGUACUUAAAUGUUCGUUAUAAUUAUUGUUGUAAAACUAAUAACUUCAAAAACCGAGCCCCAAUUUGGAGAGAUUUUGUGAUGCAAAAUAUCUAAGUUAGAAAUAGAAAUAAUUCAAGUGGAAUAAGCAUGUAUUGAGAGAUUUUAGAUGUACUGCGUACAGGUUGUAAUAAUGAGAGCAUUAAAUUAAGUAAAACUCA